rnacentral:rRNA from 1 species
CCUACGGGUGGCAGCAGUGGGGAAUAUUGGUCAAUGGGCUUACGCCUGAACCAGCCAAGUCGCGUGAGGGAAGACUGCCCUCUGGGUUGUAAACCUCUUUUGUCAGGGAGCAAUUGGCGCUACGUGUAGCGUUAUCGAGAGUAACUGAAGAAAAAGCAUCGGCUAACUCCGUGCCAGCAGCCGCGGUACUACGGAGGAUGCGAGCGUUAAUCGGAAUUACUGGGCGUAAAGCGCUCGUAGGCGGUAUGUCAAGUCAAGGGUGAAAUCCCCGCGCUCAACGUGGGAACUGCCUUUGAAACUGGCAAACUGGAGUGUGUGAGAGGAUAGUGGAAUUCCAGGUGUAGGAGUGAAAUCCGUAGAUAUCUGGAGGAACAUCAGUGGCGAAGGCGACUAUCUGGCACAUAACUGACGCUGAGGAGCGAAAGCGUGGGUAGCAAACAGGAUUAGAUACCCUAGUAGUC